AGGAAUCGACCACCUUCCAUUAUGAUAUGACGAACCAGAAGACGAAAUCACCUCUAGCCUUGUGGAACGGUUCCAGCAUAUGGUGACAAAAAAGCAUCGGCAGUGCCUUCACAGCUGUGGCGUAACCCAUUAUGCAUAGCAAGGCUGCGAUCAUAUAGUUCAAGGCUUCGCAGAUCAGGUCGAGGGAUCAGCGUCGCAUGACAAAGAAGGUACAGAUGUAUGUUUAAAAGUUGGGUGUAUUACAAAACAAUUCAACACAAUA